GUUUGUCUAAUGACGCUGCGCUUAUCGGGUCGGUGCCGGAUUGGUAAUUCAUUGAUAUUUUUGCAUUCCUCUUCGAGGGCAAUAAGGCGAAUGUCAUAACUACAAUACGUUUUAACCAUUCAGGCGGAAGUUAGCUUCCGCCUGUUUU
rfam:Salmonella enterica subsp. enterica serovar Typhimurium str. LT2, complete genome.